rnacentral:tRNA from 5 species
GCGGAAGUAGCUCAGUUGGUAGAGCGUCAGCCUUCCAAGCUGAAUGUCGCCGGUUCGAACCCGGUCUUCCGCUCUA